GGCGGACCUCGGCCGGCCCGGCCGGUUGCGGCUCCGGCCCGCGGGACGAGAGCGGCCGGGGGCUGUUGAUCGUGCAGCAGUUGGCCG
rnacentral:tRNA from 2 species